rnacentral:miRNA from 1 species
UUAUAGGUUGGUGCAAAAGUAAUUGAGGUUUUUGCCAUCACCUUCAGUGGCAAAACCUGCAAUUACUUUUGCACCCAUGUGAUAUUU